rnacentral:tRNA from 1 species
GGUCUCGUAGCUCAGAUGGUUAGAGUGUUUGCUGCACUCGAGCCUUGCUCUUACUGUUGUGGGUUCGAAUCUCAUCGAGACAG